rnacentral:rRNA from 1 species
GAUGAACGCUGGCGGCGUGCUUAACACAUGCAAGUCGAACGAAGCCUUUCGGGGCUUAGUGGCGGACGGGUGAGUAACGCGUGAGGAUCUGCCUACAGGAUGGGGACAACAGAGGGAAACUUCUGCUAAGACCCAAUGUGCCGAGAGGUGAAAUAUUUUAUAGCCUGUAGAUGAGCUCGCGUCUGAUUAGCUAGUUGGUGAGGUAAGAGCUUACCAAGGCGACGAUCAGUAGCUGGUCUGAGAGGACGAUCAGCCACACUGGGACUGAGACACGGCCCAGACUCCUACGGGAGGCAGCAGUGGGGAAUUUUCCGCAAUGGGCGAGAGCCUGACGGAGCAACGCCGCGUGAGGGAGGAAGGCCUGUGGGUUGUAAAACCUCUUUUCUCAGGGAAGAAGUUCUGACGGUACCUGAGGAAUCAGCAUCGGCUAACUCCGUGCCAGCCGCCGCGGUAAU